UUACGGCCAUAUAGCGUUGAAACACCGGUUUCCGUAUGAUCACCGAAAUUAAGCAACGUUCAGCCUGGUUAGUACCUAGAUGUGUGACUACUUGGGCUUACCAAGUGCUGUAAG